UUCGGGAUAGUUAAAAGGUAUAACAUCGCACUGUUAAUGCGAAGUUCCAGGUUCGAGUCCUGGUCCCGGAG
rfam:Parcubacteria bacterium GW2011_GWA2_40_23 TT91_C0017, whole genome shotgun sequence.